GACGAACGCUGGCGGCGUGCUUAACACAUGCAAGUCGAACGGAAAGGCCCUGCUUGUUUGGGGUGCUCGAGUGGCGAACGGGUGAGUAACACGUGAGUAACCUGCCCUUGACUUUGGGAUAACUUCAGGAAACUGGGGCUAAUACCGGAUAGGAGCUCCUGCUGCAUGGUGGGGGUUGGAAAGUUUCGGCGGGUGGGGAUGGACUCGCGGCUUAUCAGCUUGUUGGUGGGGUAGUGGCUUACCAAGGCUUUGACGGGUAGCCGGCCUGAGAGGGUGACCGGCCACAUUGGGACUGAGAUACGGACCAGAGUGCUACGGGAGGCAGCAGUGGGGAAUCUUGCCCAAUGGGCGGAAGCCUGAUGCAGCAACGCCGCGUGCGGGAUGACGGCCUUCGGGUUGUAAACCGCUUUCGCCUGUGACGAAGCGUGAGUGACGGUAAUGGGUAAAGAAGCACCGGCUAACUACGUG
rnacentral:rRNA from 1 species